GUAGCAUUUAAGGAAUCAACAGAAUUGAAAAAGCUGCUCCGAUAAGCAGACAAAAGGCCUUCACUUAAAUUAAUAGUUUAAUUAACUGAUUAUUAUUAAAAAAAAAAUUCUAAAAGUUUAGUGGACUCCCCUUAGCCACAGACCACUGUUUUUCCACUGUUGAGUCAAGUCCCAGCUUGUUUUCUGGCCAUGAGUCUGUUGGAAGACUCAUGCAGUCCCUAAUGCCAAUAUUAAAGAUUCUACAGGGAUGUUCCACAACAUGAAGCAACAGCAGAGGCUCUUUUGCACAAGCUGCACCUUUUUGCUCAAGAGCAAAUGACUGUGGGAGACAAGAAAGUCUUUGGUUCGGGUACUCGACUUUAUGUGACAGGUCCAGGAAACACGGUUGAGUCACCAAAGGUGUCUGGAUACCUACCGUCAAAGAAAUACAGUGACAAACAUGGCAAACAGACAAUGUUAUGCCAUGCAAGUGGCACGGUUCCUUACUUGGUGAAAUUCACAUGGGCAAAAAAGAGCGAAACAGAAGAAUGGACGGCUGUACCAAAGGAAGAUGUUGUGGAACAGAGUUACAAAGAUAAAAAAAUUGUGACAAGUAUGAUGAUUGUAGAUAAAAACACGGCCGAAAACAACAGCUACCAAUGCACUGUUACCAUUGACGGAAUCACUGAGAACCCCCAAAUUCUUGAAAUGAAGAGAGAAGACAUUAAAACAGCAAAGGGACCUAGCCCAACAUGUCCACCCGACUCUGAGGAUUUGGAUGGAUUUUUUUAA
rnacentral:lncRNA from 1 species